rnacentral:rRNA from 1 species
CCUACGGGAGGCAGCAGUCGGGAAUUUUGCCCAAUGGACGAAAGUCUGAGGCAGCAACUCCGCGUGAGGGACGAAGGCUCUCGGGUCGUAAACCUCUUUUCUCAGGGAAGAUCCAAGACGGUACCUGAGGAAUAAGCCACGGCUAACUACGUGCCAGCAGCCGCGGUAAUACGUAGGUGGCAAGCGUUGUCCGGAUUUACUGGGCGUAAAGAGCGCGCAGGCGGCUGGUCAAGUCCGAUGUGAAAUCUCCCGGCUUAACUGGGAAACUGCAUCGGAAACUGAUCAGCUUGAAGGUGGGAGAGGGUAGCGGAAUUCCCGGUGUAGUGGUGAAAUGCGUAGAUAUCGGGAGGAACACCAGUGGCGAAGGCGGCUACCUGGCCCAUUCUUGACGCUGAGGCGCGAAAGCUAGGGGAGCGAACGGGAUUAGAUACCCUGGUAGU